rnacentral:lncRNA from 1 species
CAGAAAAGCCAGAAGACAUCUAGCACACCAGAAUAGGAGUCCUGUCUUAACUGAGCAAUAUACACUAUGGAGAGAUCCUUCAAAACCCGUUGGGACGAAUAACAGAUGA